rnacentral:rRNA from 1 species
CGCUGGCGGCACGCCUAACACAUGCAAGUCGAGCGCUCUAACCACUUCGGUGGGGACGGGAGCGGCGGACGGGUUAGUAACGCGUGGGAACAUACCCUUUUCUACGGAAUAGCCUCGGGAAACUGAGAGUAAUACYGUAUACGCCYUUCGGGGGAAAGAUUUAUCGGUUAAGGAUUGGCCCGCGUUAGAUUAGUUAGUUGGUGGGGUAACGGCCUACCAAGACGACGAUCUAUAGCUGGUUUGAGAGGAUGAUCAGCAACACUGGGACUGAGACACGGCCCAGACUCCUACGGGAGGCAGCAGUGGGGAAUCUUAGACAAUGGGCGCAAGCCUGAUCUAGCGAUGCCGCGUGAGUGAAGAAGGCCUUAGGGUCGUAAAGCUCUUUCGCCUGUGAUGAUAAUGACAGUAGCAGGUAAAGAAACCCCGGCUAACUCCGUGCCAGCAGCCGCGGUAAUACGGAGGGGGUUAGCGUUGUUCGGAAUUACUGGGCGUAAAGCGUACGUAGGCGGAUUAGUAAGUGAGGGGUGAAAUCCCAGGGCUCAACCCUGGAACUGCCUCUCAUACUGCUAGUCUUGAGAUCGAGAGAGGUGAGUGGAAUUCCGAGUGUAGAGGUGAAAUUCGUAGAUAUUCGGAGGAACAUCAGUGGCGAAGGCGGCUCACUGGCUCGAUACUGACGCUGAGGUACGAAAGUGUGGGGAGCAAACAGGAUUAGAUACCCUGGUAGUCCACACCGUAAACGAUGAAUGCCAGACGUCGGGUAGCUUGCUAUUCGGUGUCACACCUAACGGAUUAAGCAUUCCGCCUGGGGAGUAC